rnacentral:rRNA from 1 species
AGCGAACGCUGGCGGCAGGCCUAACACAUGCAAGUCGAACGGACCCUUCGGGGUUAGUGGCGGACGGGUGAGUAACACGUGGGAACGUGCCUUUAGGUUCGGAAUAGCUCCUGGAAACGGGUGGUAAUGCCGAAUGUGCCCUUCGGGGGAAAGAUUUAUCGCCUUUAGAGCGGCCCGCGUCUGAUUAGCUAGUUGGUGAGGUAACGGCUCACCAAGGCGACGAUCAGUAGCUGGUCUGAGAGGAUGACCAGCCACACUGGGACUGAGACACGGCCCAGACUCCUACGGGAGGCAGCAGUGGGGAAUCUUGCGCAAUGGGCGAAAGCCUGACGCAGCCAUGCCGCGUGAAUGAUGAAGGUCUUAGGAUUGUAAAAUUCUUUCACCGGGGACGAUAAUGACGGGACCCGGAGAAGAAGCCCCGGCUAACUUCGU